AGCUCCAAUAGCGUACGUUAAAGUUGCUGCAGUUAAAAGCUCGUAGUUGAACGUUCGGGUUCCGCGGGACGGGGCCGCCCCGCGAGGGACGGCGCCGGCCCCGGGGCUCGUGAUAUCUCAUCUCGCCGCCCGUCGCGAGGCGGACGGAGGGAUGGAUGGAGGUUACCUAGGAAAAAAGUCGGGGCGAUCUAGGGCGGGCGAACCUCGCCACGAACGAUCGGACAUGGGAUAACGGAAGAGGGCGUCGGCUCGACUUCGUCGGUUCCUCGGGCCGAGGCACGUACGGUGAAUAGGGACGGUCGGGGCCGCCCGUACCGGGUCGUGAGAGGUGAAAUUCUAGGAUCGACCCGAGACGAACCGCCGCGAAAGCAUUCGGCAAGGACGCUUUCAUUAAUCAAGAACGAAAGUCGGG
rnacentral:rRNA from 1 species